GCCGGCCAAUUGAAUCAAAGUUUACAAUGUUCCUAUACAAUCUUCUAUAAAUACAUGCAUAACUCAACCCAAAGGUCAAUCAACCAAAGAAAUACGAUCUUUGCUUCACAAGAAGAAGAAAGAUAUGGCUAGGGCUAGCUUGAUUCUACUUCUAGUUGUCUCUCUUCUUGUCAUAAUUUCAGUAGCUGAGAGUAAACGACUAGCUAUUGGAUUUGCAGGGAAGAAGGCUUCUGCCCUGGUUUGUAAUGCCAUUUAUGGUGCAGAGGAAGGUGAUACUUGCAGUCUUGUUGCUGAAAUGUUCAACCUGAGUCUCGAUUCCUUCCUUGCCAUCAACCCUAAUAUCAAUUGCGACAGCUUCUUUGUGGGUCAAUGGCUUUGCGUUGAUGGUGCUCAGAAGUGAGUUACUACAUUUUCAUGUACGUGGAGUUGAGGACAAACAAUAUGCGAAUAAAAGAGCAUGAGCUAGCUAGCUUUGGUGCCCUCUCAACUCAACGCAUUGUUUCCUGUUAUAAAUUGUCGUUAUUUUGCAAUGAAUUAUAAGAAGUGUACCAUUUCUGGUUAACUUGUAACGUAUUGUUCUAAUAAACGAACCGUUAACUUUAAAAA